rnacentral:rRNA from 1 species
GAGUAAUGUCUGGGAAACUGCCUGAUGGAGGGGGAUAACUACUGGAAACGGUGGCUAAUACCGCAUAACGUCGCAAGACCAAAGAGGGGGACCUUCGGGCCUCUUGCCAUCAGAUGUGCCCAGAUGGGAUUAGCUUGUUGGUGAGGUAACGGCUCACCAAGGCGACGAUCCCUAGCUGGUCUGAGAGGAUGACCAGCCACACUGGAACUGAGACACGGUCCAGACUCCUACGGGAGGCAGCAGUGGGGAAUAUUGCACAAUGGGCGCAAGCCUGAUGCAGCCAUGCCGCGUGUAUGAAGAAGGCCUUCGGGUUGUAAAGUACUUUCAGCGGGGAGGAAGGUGUUGUGGUUAAUAACCGCAGCAAUUGACGUUACCCGCAGAAGAAGCACCGGCUAACUCCGUGCCAGCAGCCGCGGUAAUACGGAGGGUGCAAGCGUUAAUCGGAAUUACUGGGCGUAAAGCGCACGCAGGCGGUCUGUCAAGUCGGAUGUGAAAUCCCCGGGCUCAACCUGGGAACUGCAUUCGAAACUGGCAGGCUUGAGUCUUGUAGAGGGGGGUAGAAUUCCAGGUGUAGCGGUGAAAUGCGUAGAGAUCUGGAGGAAUACCGGUGGCGAAGGCGGCCCCCUGGACAAAGACUGACGCUCAGGUGCGAAAGCGUGGGGAGCAAACAGGAUUAGAUACCCUGGUAGUCCACGCCGUAAACGAUGUCUACUUGGAGGUUGUGCCCUUGAGGCGUGGCUUCCGGAGCUAACGCGUUAAGUAGACCGCCUGGGGAGUACGGCCGCAAGGUUAAAACUCAAAUGAAUUGACGGGGGCCCGCACAAGCGGUGGAGCAUGUGGUUUAAUUCGAUGCAACGCGAAGAACCUUACCUGGUCUUGACAUCCACAGAACUUUCCAGAGAUGGAUUGGUGCCUUCGGGAACUGUGAGACAGGUGCUGCAUGGCUGUCGUCAGCUCGUGUUGUGAAAUGUUGGGUUAAGUCCCGCAACGAGCGCAACCCUUAUCCUUUGUUGCCAGCGGUCCGGCCGGGAACUCAAAGGAGACUGCCAGUGAUAAACUGGAGGAAGGUGGGGAUGACGUCAAGUCAUCAUGGCCCUUACGACCAGGGCUACACACGUGCUACAAUGGCGCAUACAAAGAGAAGCGACCUCGCGAGAGCAAGCGGACCUCAUAAAGUGCGUCGUAGUCCGGAUUGGAGUCUGCAACUCGACUCCAUGAAGUCGGAAUCGCUAGUAAUCGUGGAUCAGAAUGCCACGGUGAAUACGUUCCCGGGCCUUGUACACACCGCCCGUCACACCAUGGGAGUGGGUUGCAAAAGAAGUAGGUAGCUUAACCUUCGGGAGGGCGCUUACCACUUUGUGAUUCAUGACUGGGGUGAAGUCGUAACAAGGUAACCGUAGGGGAACCUGCGGUUGGAUCACCUCCUUACCUUAAAGAAGC